GACGAACGCUGGCGGCGUGCUUAACACAUGCAAGUCGAACGGAAAGGCCCUGCUUUUGUGGGGUGCUCGAGUGGCGAACGGGUGAGUAACACGUGAGUAACCUGCCCUUGACUUUGGGAUAACUUCAGGAAACUGGGGCUAAUACCGGAUAGGAGCUCCUGCUGCAUGGUGGGGGUUGGAAAGUUUCGGCGGUUGGGGAUGGACUCGCGGCUUAUCAGCUUGUUGGUGGGGUAGUGGCUUACCAAGGCUUUGACGGGUAGCCGGCCUGAGAGGGUGACCGGCCGAAGGGGGAGUGUGGUGCAGAGGGGGCGGCGACGGGAGGCAGCAGCGCGGGUGGUGGGACGAUGGGCGGAGGCUUGAUGCCGCCACGCGGCGGGCGGGAAGAGGGGGGUCGGGUUAUAAACAGCGAUCGCCUGGCACGCAGCGUGAGUGACGGCAAGGGAGAAAAAAGCAAACGCUCACUUCGCG
rnacentral:rRNA from 1 species